GUUCACACAAGAAAUAAGACAUUUAUAUAGUUUAAUCACUAAAAACAUUACAUUUUCACUGUAAAAUUAAAUCAUCUUUUAUAA
rnacentral:tRNA from 1 species